UAUUAUAUAGUUUAAUAUGAAAAUAAAUACCUUCUAAGUAUUAGAUUUAAGAUUUAAUGUAGUAA